AUACGUAGGGUGCAAGCGUUAAUCGGAAUUACUGGGCGUAAAGCGUGCGCAGGCGGUUUUGUAAGACAGAGGUGAAAUCCCCGGGCUCAACCUGGGAACUGCCUUUGUGACUGCAAGGCUAGAGUACGGCAGAGGGGGAUUGAAUUCCGCGUGUAGCAGUGAAAUGCGUAGAUAUGCGGAGGAACACCGAUGGCGAAGGAAAUCCCCUGGGCCUGUACUGACGCUCAUGCACGAAAGCGUGGGGAGCAAACAGGAUUAGAUGCCCUGGUAGUCCACGCCCCAAACGAUGUCAACUGGUUGUUGGGUCUUCAUUGACUCAGUAACGAAGCUAACGCGUGAAGUUGACCGCCUGGGGAGUACGGCCGCAAGGUUGAAACUCAAAUGAAUUGGCGGGG
rnacentral:rRNA from 1 species